rnacentral:tRNA from 1 species
GGAGAGGCUGUGGCUCAGUGGUAGAUCGUCUCCUCGGCAUGCAGAGGGUCUCUGGUUCAAUCCCCAACAUCUCCA